rnacentral:sRNA from 1 species
CCAUAGCCCCGAUUGUAGUGGAAAUCCUUUUUUGCUUUUUGUGAAGUUCUAAAUUAAUUACAAAUCAUCGAGCAAAAAAGAUUGCAACGAAAAGCGGGAUUAAGC